AUCCCCCCCUCGAGAGCAAUGGGUCCCCCGUUGGGACGGCCCCGUGCCUCAGUUUCCCCAUGUGGGUAAUGGGUUCCCCAUUGGGAGUCAUGGAAACCCAUUGGGACGGCCCCGUGCCUCAGUUUCCCCAUGUGGGCAAUGGGUUCCCCAUUGGGAGUCAUGGAUCCCCCAUUGGCAGCAAUGGGUCCCCCACUGGAACGAUUCCGUGCCUCGGUUUCCCCAUAGGGAUCAUGGAUUUCCCAUAGGGAUCAUGGAUCCCCCAUUGGGAGUCGUGGAAACCCAUUGGGAUGGCCCUGUGCCCCAGUUUCCCCACUGGGAGUCAUAGAUUCCCCACUGGGAGUCAUGGAAACCCACUGGGAUGGCCCCUGUGCCUCAGUUUCCCCACUGGGAGUCAUGGAUUCCCUUUCAAGAGCAAUGGGCCCCCCAUUGGGACGGCCCCGUGCCUCAAUUUCCCCAUAUGGGUAAUGGGUUCCCCAUUGGCAGUCGUGGAUCCCCCAUUGGGAGUCAUGGAAACCCAUUGGGACGGCCCCGUGCCUCAGUUUCCCCAUGUGGGUAAUGGGUUCCCCAUUGGGCGUCAUGGAAACCCAUUGGGACAGCCCCCUGCCUCAGUUUCCCCGUAUGGGAAAUGGAUUGCUAUGGUACGACUCUGUGCCUCAGUUUCCCCACUGGGAGCCAUGGAAACCCACUGGGACGGCCCCGUGCCUCAGUUUCCCCACUGGGAGUCAUGGAUCCCAUAUUGGGAGCAAUGGUCCCCCACUGGAACAGUUCCGUGCCUCAGUUUCCCCAUGGGGAUCAUGGAUUCCCCAUAGGGAUCAUGGAUCCCCCAUUGGGAGCAAUGGAUCCCGCAUUGGGACAGCCCCGUGCCUCAGUUUCCCCAUAUGGGUACUGGGAUCCCCAUAGGGAUCAUGGGUCCCCCAUUGGGUGCCAUGGAUCCCCCAUUGGGAGCAAUGGAUCCCACAUUGGGAUGGCCCCAUGCCUCAGUUUCCCCAUUGGGAUCGUGGAUCCCCCAUUGGGAGUCAUGGAUCCCCCAUUGGGAGCAAUGGGUCCCCCACUGGAACAAUUCUGUGCCUCAGUUUCCCCAUAGGGAUCAUGGAUUCCCCAUAGGGAUCAUGGAUCCCCCAUUGGGAGUCAUGGAUCCCCCAUUGGGCGCCAUGGAUCCCCCAUUGGGAGUCAUUGAUCCCCCACUGGGAGUCAUUGAUCCCCCAUUGGGAAUCAUGGAUCCCCCAUUGGGAGUCAUUGAUCCCCCAUUGGGCGCCAUGGAUCCCCCAUUGGGAGUCAUUGAUCCCCCAUAGGGAUCAUGGAUCCCCCAUUGGGAGUCAUGGAUCCUCCAUUGGGAAUNUGGAUCCCCCAUUGGGAGCAAUGGAUCCCACAUUGGGAUGGCCCCAUGCCUCAGUUUCCCCAUUGGGAUCGUGGAUCCCCCAUUGGGAGUCAUGGAUCCCCCAUUGGGAGCAAUGGGUCCCCCACUGGAACAAUUCUGUGCCUCAGUUUCCCCAUAGGGAUCAUGGAUUCCCCAUAGGGAUCAUGGAUCCCCCAUUGGGAGUCAUGGAUCCCCCAUUGGGCGCCAUGGAUCCCCCAUUGGGAGUCAUUGAUCCCCCACUGGGAGUCAUUGAUCCCCCAUUGGGAAUCAUGGAUCCCCCAUUGGGAGUCAUUGAUCCCCCAUUGGGCGCCAUGGAUCCCCCAUUGGGAGUCAUUGAUCCCCCAUAGGGAUCAUGGAUCCCCCAUUGGGAGUCAUGGAUCCUCCAUUGGGAAUCAUGGAUCCCCCAUUGGGAGUCAUUGAUCCCCCAUUGGGAAUCAUGGAUUCCCCAUCGGGAAUCAUGGAUCCCCCAUUGGGAGUCAUUGAUCCCCCAUUGGGAGUCAUUGAUCCCCCAUUGGGAAUCAUGGAUCGCCCAUUGGGAGCAAUGGGCCCCGUGCCUCAGUUUCCCCACCCCCCCCGGGUAACGCAUCACUACGGUUCAGACCUGUGCCUCAGUUUCCCCCCCCUCGUCCCCCCCCGGUACGGCUUCGUGCCUCAGUUUCCCCACGAGGAACGGGGUCACGUGACAGCACUGCCCCCCGCUUCCCCCUAUCUCGUCGCGGUACGGCCCCGUGCAUCAGUUUCCCCCCGCGGGUAACGGCUCCCUACGGCCUCGCUUUCUUCAUUCAUAAAAUGGGUACGCUACGGGGGCGUGGCUUGCGCAGGCCACGCCCCCUCCGUUCAUUUUUUUUAAAAUCCAUAUCUCAGCCAAUAAAACCUGACGUAGAACGCUGAUUGGUCGGCA
ensembl:lncRNA